GAUGAACGCUAGCUACAGGCUUAACACAUGCAAGUCGAGGGGAAACGAUGAGAGAGCUUGCUCUCUUAGUCGUCGACCGGCGCACGGGUGAGUAACGCGUAUCCAACCUGCCUCUGACCAAGGGAUAACCCGUCGAAAGUCGGACUAAUACCUUAUGCAGUCGUCGGAAGUCAUCUGAUGACGACGAAAGAUUUCAUCGGUGAGAGAUGGGGAUGCGUCUGAUUAGCUUGUUGGCGGGGUAACGGCCCACCAAGGCGACGAUCAGUAGGGGUUCUGAGAGGAAGGUCCCCCACAUUGGAACUGAGACACGGUCCAAACUCCUACGGGAGGCAGCAGUGAGGAAUAUUGGUCAAUGGGCGUAAGCCUGAACCAGCCAAGUAGCGUGCAGGAUGACGGCCCUAUGGGUUGUAAACUGCUUUUAUGCGGGGAUAAAGUGAGGGACGCGUCCUUCAUUGCAGGUACCGCAUGAAUAAGGACCGGCUAAUUCCGUG
rnacentral:rRNA from 1 species